GUGCUUGCCUCGGCAGCACGUAUACUAAAAUUGGAACGAUACAGAGAAGAUUAGCAUGGCCCCUAUGCAAGGAUGAAAUGCAAGUUCAUGAAGCAUUCCACAUUUUU
rnacentral:snRNA from 1 species